rnacentral:rRNA from 1 species
UACGUAGGGGGCGAGCGUUAUCCGGAUUUACUGGGUGUAAAGGGAGCGUAGACGGUUAAUCAAGUCUGAAGUGAAAGCCCGCGGCUCAACUGCGGAACGGCUUUGGAAACUGAGUAACUGGAGUGCUGGAGGGGCAGGCGGAAUUCCUAGUGUAGCGGUGAAAUGCGUAGAUAUUAGGAGGAACACCAGUGGCGAAGGCGGUCUGCUGGACAGCAACUGACGCUGAGGCGCGAAAGCGUGGGGAGCAAACAGG